UCUGGCCUGCUCAAUGAGAUUUAAAUAGCCGCAGUAUUUUGACUGUGCAAAGGUAGCAUAAUAAUUAGUUUUUUAAUUAAGAACUAGAAUGAAUGGUUUGACAAGAGAACGACUGUCUCUUUUUAAUUUUUAUUGAAUUUUAUUUUUAAGUGAAAAAGCUUAAAUUUAUAUAAAAGACGAGAAGACCCUAUAGAGUUUAAUGAUUUUUAUUAAUAAUAUAAUAGUAUUUUAAUUUAAAAUGAAUCAUUUAAUUGGGGUGAUUGAGAGAAAUAAUAAAUUCUUUUAUUUUUUAGUUGAUUAUUUUCAAUUUUUUAAUCUAUUUAUAAUAAAAUUAAAAUAAAUUACCUUAGGGAUAACAGCGUAAUUUUUCUUUAAAGUUCUUAUUAAAAGGAAAGUUUGCGACCUCGAUGUUGGAUUAAAAUUAAUUUUUGGUGCAGUAACUUAAAAAUUGGGUCUGUUCGACCUUUAAAAUUUUACAUGAUCUGAGUUUAAACCGGUGUGAGCCAGGUUGGAUUCUAUCUUUAGAAUAUUAUUAUAUUUUAGUACGAAAGGACAAAAUAUAAAUUAAAUUAAUUGU
rnacentral:rRNA from 1 species